AUUAGAGUUUGAUCAUGGCUCAGAUUGAACGCUGGCGGCAUGCCUUACACAUGCAAGUCGAACGGUAACAGGUUAAGCUGACGAGUGGCGAACGGGUGAGUAAUGUAUCGGAACGUGCCCAGUCGUGGGGGAUAACUGCUCGAAAGAGCAGCUAAUACCGCAUACGACCUGAGGGUGAAAGCGGGGGAUCGCAAGACCUCGCGCGAUUGGAGCGGCCGAUAUCAGAUUAGGUAGUUGGUGAGGUAAAGGCUCACCAAGCCGACGAUCUGUAGCUGGUCUGAGAGGACGACCAGCCACACUGGGACUGAGACACGGUCCAGACUCCUACGGGAGGCAGCAGUGGGGAAUAUUGGACAAUGGGCGCAAGCCUGAUCCAGCCAUACCGCGUGGGUGAUGAAGGCCCUAGGGUUGUAAAGCUCUUUCGGCCGGGAAGAAAUCGCGCUCUUUAAUAGAGGGUGUGGAUGACGGUACCGGACUAAGAAGCACCGGCUAACUACGUGCCAGCAGCCGCGGUAAUAAU
rnacentral:rRNA from 1 species